CCUACGGGCGGCAGCAGUGGGGAAUAUUGCACAAUGGGGGAAACCCUGAUGCAGCGACGCCGCGUGAGUGAAGAAGUAAUUCGUUAUGUAAAGCUCUAUCAGCAGGGAAGAAAAUGACGGUACCUGAGUAAGAAGCCCCGGCUAACUACGUGCCAGCAGCCGCGGUAAUACGUAGGGGGCAAGCGUUAUCCGGAUUCACUGGGCGUAAAGGGAGCGCAGGCGGCACGGCAAGUCCGGUGUGAAAGCCCGGGGCCCAACCCCGGGACUGCACUGGAAACUGCCGGGCUGGAGUGUCGGAGGGGCAGGCGGAAUUCCUAGUGUAGCGGUGAAAUGCGUAGAUAUUAGGAGGAACACCGGUGGCGAAGGCGGCCUGCUGGACGACGACUGACGCUGAGGCUCGAAAGCGUGGGGAGCAAACAGGAUUAGAUACCCGGGUAGUC
rnacentral:rRNA from 1 species